rnacentral:antisense_RNA from 1 species
UAUUACGGUGGGCUGGGCGAGGCAGCUUCGGCUGGCCGUUUCCACGUGUGCGGUAGUUCCAACCUUGUUCAGUUCACCACCCUU